GGGCAUGGACACGCGAUCAGAUUCGCUACCGCAGAGCUCUAGCUCCGGAGCGCGCCAAGUUGAAGGCCAAAGUCGAGGUUGGGAUGCCCGAUGCCUGGCGCGGGGAGACGGAGGAAGCAAAGUGCUGCUGCCUGGUGGAAAUACAGUAUUAUAUAAUGACAUGCUACUAUGCAUCUCUACCUAACUCCUCGUCUGGUGAUGCCAUAUUGAAAUCAGCCAUACUGAGAGUAUUUACACACUGCUGAAGUCAGUAAAUGCUACAAAUCAAGGCUUGAAUGUAACCUACAUGAGAAAGAGUUGCCUUGCUCACUGCCGUAUCCCAGUAUCCCAAGAACCUUGGAGAUGCUCUAUGAAUACUGAAUGAAUCUGAGAGGAAACUAGCCCGAAGGGGGAAGGCUCUGGAAGCAAGCCCUCAUGGACCAACGGAGAAAAAGGAAACUGAAUCUUGGGGAGAUUAAGCAACUCUUUCAAGGUCAACCGGGGAGCGGCAGAACCAGAGUUCGAAGGAAACCUUUCUGAAUCUGACGUCUGCCCCUUCUAAAUUAGGACUCUCAUCUAUCAGCCUGUGAGAAAAAAUACAGAAAGCAUCAUUCAGGCAACACAUGAACUCAAGACACUGAGACUUCGCUAACCUUCCUCGCACACAAGGUCCUAAAGGAACUACCACACGCAUGUCCACAUUUGAUGCACAUAACAGACUCUCACCGCAUUGAAAUAAACCCCAGUAUGAUCAUAA
rnacentral:lncRNA from 1 species